UGGGGAAUAUUGCACAAUGGGCGCAAGCCUGAUGCAGCCAUGUCGCGUGUGUGAAGAAGGCCUUCGGGUUGUAAAGCACUUUCAGCGGGGAGGAAGGCGUUAAGGUUAAUAACCUUGGCGAUUGACGUUACCCGCAGAAGAAGCACCGGCUAACUCCGUGCCAGCAGCCGCGGUAAUACGGAGGGUGCAAGCGUUAAUCGGAAUUACUGGGCGUAAAGCGCACGCAGGCGGUCUGUCAAGUCGGAUGUGAAAUCCCCGGGCUCAACCUGGGAACUGCAUUCGAAACUGGCAGGCUAGAGUCUUGUAGAGGGGGGUAGAAUUCCAGGUGUAGCGGUGAAAUGCGUAGAGAUCUGGAGGAAUACCGGUGGCGAAGGCGGCCCCCUGGACAAAGACUGACGCUCAGGUGCGAAAGCGUGGGGAGCAAACAGG
rnacentral:rRNA from 1 species